rnacentral:rRNA from 1 species
GACGAGGGGACGAGCGUUAUCCGGAUUCAUUGGGCGUAAAGCGCGCGUAGGCGGUUCGGUAAGUCGGGGUGUGAAAACACGAGGCUCAACCUCGUGCGUGCAUCCCGAUACUGCCGGACUAGAGGUAGGUAGGGGGAGAUCGGAAUUCCUGGUGUAGCGGUGAAAUGCGCAGAUAUCAGGAGGAACACCAAUAGCGAAGGCAGCUCGCUGGGACGUACUGACACUGAGGCGCGAAAGCGUGGGGGAGCGAACAGGG